GAUGAACGCUAGCUACAGGCUUAACACAUGCAAGUCGAGGGGCAGCAUUUUAGUUUGCUUGCAAACUAAAGAUGGCGACCGGCGCACGGGUGAGUAACACGUAUCCAACCUGCCGAUAACUCGGGGAUAGCCUUUCGAAAGAAAGAUUAAUAUCCGAUGGUAUAUUAAAACCGCAUGGUUUUACUAUUAAAGAAUUUCGGUUAUCGAUGGGGAUGCGUUCCAUUAGUUUGUUGGCGGGGUAACGGCCCACCAAGACUACGAUGGAUAGGGGUUCUGAGAGGAAGGUCCCCCACAUUGGAACUGAGACACGGUCCAAACUCCUACGGGAGGCAGCAGUGAGGAAUAUUGGUCAAUGGACGAGAGUCUGAAUCAGCCAAGUAGCGUGAAGGAUGACUGCCCUAUGGGUUGUAAACUUCUUUUAUAUGGGAAUAAAGUAUUCCACGUGUGGGAUUUUGUAUGUACCAUAUGAAUAAGGAUCGGCUAACUCCGUGCCAGCAGCCGCGGUAAUACGGAGGAUCCGAGCGUUAUCCGGAUUUAUUGGGUUUAAAGGGAGCGUAGGUGGAUUGUUAAGUCAGUUGUGAAAGUUUGCGGCUCAACCGUAAAAUUGCAGUUGAAACUGGCAGUCUUGAGUACAGUAGAGGUGGGCGGAAUUCGUGGUGUAGCGGUGAAAUGCUUAGAUAUCACGAAGAACUCCGAUUGCGAAGGCAGCUCACUAGACUGCAACUGGCACUGAUGCUCGAAAGUGUGGGUAUCAAACAGGAUUAGAUACCCUGGUAGUCCACACAGUAAACGAUGAAUACUCGCUGUUUGCGAUAUACAGUAAGCGGCCAAGCGAAAGCAUUAAGUAUUCCACCUGGGGAGUACGCCGGCAACGGUGAAACUCAAAGGAAUUGACGGGGGCCCGCACAAGCGGAGGAACAUGUGGUUUAAUUCGAUGAUACGCGAGGAACCUUACCCGGGCUUAAAUUGCAUUUGAAUAAUCUGGAAACAGGUUAGCCGUAAGGCAAAUGUGAAGGUGCUGCAUGGUUGUCGUCAGCUCGUGCCGUGAGGUGUCGGCUUAAGUGCCAUAACGAGCGCAACCCUUAUCUUUAGUUACUAACAGGUCAUGCUGAGGACUCUAGAGAGACUGCCGUCGUAAGAUGUGAGGAAGGUGGGGAUGACGUCAAAUCAGCACGGCCCUUACGUCCGGGGCUACACACGUGUUACAAUGGGGGGUACAGAAGGCAGCUACCUGGUGACAGGAUGCUAAUCCCAAAAACCUCUCUCAGUUCGGAUCGAAGUCUGCAACCCGACUUCGUGAAGCUGGAUUCGCUAGUAAUCGCGCAUCAGCCAUGGCGCGGUGAAUACGUUCCCGGGCCU
rnacentral:rRNA from 1 species